AUUGAACGCUGGCGGCAUGCCUUACACAUGCAAGUCGAACGGUAACAGGUCUUCGGAUGCUGACGAGUGGCGAACGGGUGAGUAAUACAUCGGAACGUGCCUAGUAGUGGGGGAUAACUACUCGAAAGAGUGGCUAAUACCGCAUGAGAUCUACGGAUGAAAGCAGGGGAUCGCAAGACCUUGUGCUACUAGAGCGGCCGAUGGCAGAUUAGGUAGUUGGUGGGAUAAAAGCUUACCAAGCCGACGAUCUGUAGCUGGUCUGAGAGGACGAUCAGCCACACUGGGACUGAGACACGGCCCAGACUCCUACGGGAGUCAGCAGUGGGGAAUUUUGGACAAUGGGCGCGAGCCUGAUCCAGCAAUGCCGCGUGCAGGAUGAAGGCCUUCGGGUUGUAAACUGCUUUUGUACGGAACGAAAAGCCCCGGGUUAAUACCCUGGGGUCAUGACGGUACCGUAAGAAUAAGCACCGGCUAACUACGUGCCAGCCGCCGCAGUAA
rnacentral:rRNA from 1 species